rnacentral:pre_miRNA from 1 species
CAUGCACCAGUGGGGUCCCUCAGCCUGGCCUGUGCCCUCUUGCAAUCUGGGACCCCUCAGGGGAUGUCAGAGAGCCGGUUUUGGCCUGAUCCCGCAGGCCAGGCCGAGGGACCCCACUGGUGCACG